UUUGACGAUGUUGUCGGCGAGGAAACCCGCUGAACUUAAGCAUAUCACUAAGCGGAGGAAAAGAAACCAAUUUGGAUGC
rnacentral:rRNA from 1 species